rnacentral:rRNA from 1 species
AGAGUUUGAUCAUGGCUCAGAACGAACGCUGGCGGCAUGCCUAACACAUGCAAGUCGAACGAGACCUUCGGGUCUAGUGGCGCACGGGUGCGUAACGCGUGGGAAUCUGCCCUUGGGUUCGGAAUAACAGUGAGAAAUUACUGCUAAUACCGGAUGAUGUCUUCGGACCAAAGAUUUAUUGCCCAGGGAUGAGCCCGCGUAGGAUUAGCUAGUUGGUGGGGUAAUGGCCUACCAAGGCGACGAUCCUUAGCUGGUCUGAGAGGAUGAUCAGCCACACUGGGACUGAGACACGGCCCAGACUCCUACGGGAGGCAGCAGUGGGGAAUAUUGGACAAUGGGCGAAAGCCUGAUCCAGCAAUGGCCGCGUGAGUGAUGAAGGCCUUAGGGUUGUAAAGCUCUUUUACCAGGGAUGAUAAUGACAGUACCUGGAGAAUAAGCUCCGGCUAACUCCGUGCCAGCAGCCGCGGUAAUACGGAGGGAGCUAGCGUUGUUCGGAAUUACUGGGCGUAAAGCGCGCGUAGGCGGUUACUCAAGUCAGAGGUGAAAGCCCGGGGCUCAACCCCGGAACUGCCUUUGAAACUAGGUGACUAGAAUCUUGGAGAGGUCAGUGGAAUUCCGAGUGUAGAGGUGAAAUUCGUAGAUAUUCGGAAGAACACCAGUGGCGAAGGCGACUGACUGGACAAGUAUUGACGCU